UACAGAGGUCCCAAGCGUUGUUCGGAUUCACUGGGCGUAAAGGGUGCGUAGGUGGUCAGGUAAGUCGGAUGUGAAAUCUCCGAGCUCAACUCGGAAACUGCAUUGGAAACUACCUGGCUCGAGGGUUGGAGGGGGGACUGGAAUGCUUGGGUGUAGCAGUGAAAUGCGUAGAUAUCAAGCGGAACACCAGUGGCGAAGGCGAGUCCCUGGACAACUCCUGACACUGAUGCACGAAAGCUAGGGGAGCAAACAGG
rnacentral:rRNA from 1 species